UUCCGUCGGAAUCUGGGAGGACCAUCUCCUAAGGCUAAAUACUCUCUAGUGACCGAUAGUGAACCAGUACCGUGAGGGAAAGGUGAAAAGUACCCCGGAAGGGGAGUGAAAGAGAACUUGAAACCGUGUGCUUACAAGUAGUCAGAGCCCGUUAAUGGGUGAUGGCGUGCCUUUUGUAGAAUGAACCGGCGAGUUACGAUCUGAUGCA
rnacentral:rRNA from 1 species